rfam:Ipomoea nil DNA, scaffold: scaffold0824, cultivar: Tokyo-kokei standard.
GCCCGUCUAGCUCAGUCGGUAGAGUGCAAGGCUCUUAACCUUGUGGUCCUGGGUUCAAGUCCCAGGGUGGGCG